GAACAACUAAGAAAAGCUGGACAAAAACUUGUGGUUGUUACCUUCUCAUCUCAAAAUUGUGGUCCUUGCAGACCUGUAGCUGCUGGUUUAAAGGCACUAAGUGAAGAAAUGCCCGAUGUACUGUUCAUUAAAAUUGAAGUUGGUAAAUGUGACGCAUUUACAGAGCGUUUCAAAAUCACUGGAGUCCCAGCAUUCUUCUUCUAUAGGAACGGCAUUGAAGUAAGUUCAAUUACUGUA